UGGGAUGCAGUUAAGGGGCAGCAGGUUGGACUCAAUGAUCUAACCACCAGGCCAGGCCGGCACCCCAGGAUCAACUAAAUUUGACGCUCUGUUGGCGUUUGGCGAGGGUUUCUGCUCAUGCGUUGAAUCUGACAUUUGAAACUUUUUGAUUCUGGGUCACACUGGGACAGGUCUGUCACUUAUCCUCUCGUGACUCCCCCCCUCUCCUAACGUGAGGCUUGUUUCCCAUCCAGAUUCAGAGGAGACAGAAGAUUAAACAGCAGUUUGUGUGGAGCCAGCAUUACAGCGCUGUUUGAUUUAGAGCCAUUGUUUCUCUUUUUGAAAUCACUGGCUCAAUAUCAGACCAAGUGUACCACAGCCAGGGGCCACAUUUCAAUACAGGCACGACUGCAACUUUUCCCAACCUCGCCUUUGAAAUACUCCCCUUCAAGAUUGUCCUAAUUGAACACAAUGACAGCGGACAAGAGGUAAUCGUGACAUCUUUGUGAGUAAAACAACAGCACAGUGUCCCGAGACCAUCAGGACGCAAUAUCAGGAAGUCAAUUACAGUAAAUCCUUCCCUCUGUCAUUUCUGUUAGUACAGCAAACAUCUUUUUAACUUUGACUCAUUUCUUUAGCAAAAAGACUAAACACAACUCACCUACUCUCUUCCAGCAGCCGCUUGUUUAAUAACAAUAAUAAUAAUUAUACAUUUUAUUUAUAAUGCACUUUUACAGGCGCUCAAAGACACCUUACGAAGAAAAAAAUAUAUAAUAAAAUACAAAAACGCAGUUUAGAAUACAGAAAAUUUUGAGAAAUAAAACCAACAAUGCAAAAGGUUGAAAAAGACACAAAAUGAAAAGAGCAGUUCACAGGUAAAAAGCCAAGCCAGACCUCAG